GCAUAUAUAAUUUAACCUGCAUAUCUUAUUAGACAGGUGAGAUCUGAGUCACCUGACUGUCAAGAAGAGCUUGCAGAGAACCAUAAGGCGGUAUCGCUUUGGUAUGAGUCUCCUUCGGUAUCUGACCGUGUGUGUGGUGAACCUGGUUUCUAUAUAUGGGAAUGACUUAAUAGUUUCAUUUUCUUUUUCAGCGGGUUAACAUUUCUGGC